AUGGAGGAGGUUUCCAAUUGGUUGAUGGAUACUCAGAAAAAACUCAAGGUUGUUUCUGUUGUGGGUUUCGGAGGUCUGGGUAAAACUACACUUGCCAAACAGGUGUAUGACAAGAUCAGGGAAGAAUUUGAUUGUGUAGCAUUCAUUUCAGUUUCACUGAGGCCUGAUAUGAGAGUACUUCUCAAUCGCCUAAAAUUGAAAUUUGGGAUAAAUGAGUCUUCUAACGACCGCGGAUUGGACAACAUCAAUGAAGAGCUAAGGAAGUAUCUUGCAAAGAAAAGGUACCUUAUUGUAGUUGAUGACUUGUGGGAUCAAUCAGCAUGGAAUACUAUUAGUUGUGCUUUUCCAGAUAAUCGUAAUGGGAGCAGAGUAUUAGUAACCACACGAGUGGAAGAUGUGGCUAGUGUGGCAUGUCGCUGUGACCGUGAAUGCAUUUACACAAUGAAGCCUCUCAAUGAACAAAACCCAAGAAUGUUAUUCUCGAAUAGAGUAUUUGGGGCCGAAGUUGUUUGUCCACCCUAUCUUAAAGAUGUCAUGGCUAAAAUUCUGAAGAAGUGUGACGGAUUGCCGCUUGCAAUAAUCACUAUAGUUAGCCUAUUAGCUACUCAGGUGAGAUCAAGGAAACACUGGGAGAGCAUAAGAAAAUCUUUGCGUGCCCAAUCUGCCCCAAAUCCUUCAUUGAAAGACAUAAAAAAUAUAUUAAACCUUAGCUACACACAUCUUCCUCUUCAUCUCCGGGCAUGUUUUUUGUACCUUGGUAUGUAUCCUGAGGACCACAUCAUAAGACGGGAUCAGCUGGUUAAACAAUGGAUAGCUGAAGGCUUCGUCAGCAGUUUGCAUGGGCCAGAUUUGGAGGAUGUUGGCAGGAGUUAUUUCAAUGAGCUCGUCAACAGAAGCAUGAUUCAGCCAUCGGAAAUCGAGUAUGGAGAGGUGUUGUGUUGCACAGUACACGACAUGAUGCUUGAUUUGAUCCUAAGCAAGUGUGUAGAAGAUAAUUUUAUAAGUGUGGCAUACAAUUCUGAGGACAUGGAAAGGCUGCUGCAUCGCUGCAAAAACAUGGUUCGCCGACUGUCCCUGAGCUCCAUGGCUGUUGGUGGAGCAACAUAUGACACGGCUAUUGCUGCUAGGCUGUUACAAGUUCGGUCAUUACUGUUGAAGAACCCUAUACUCCCUCUUUUGUGGUUCAAGUAUCUCAGGGUGCUCAUCAUUACUAUGGGGGAGGAGAUAGUUGACCUCACCGCUGUUAGCCAAUUGUUUCAGCUGAGGUGUCUGACGGUAAGUGCUUUGGUGCCGAUGAAGCUCCCUACUAAACUUGGUGAGCUUGCUUACUUGGAGACACUGGACAUACAAGUUUGCGAACUGCAUAUGUCAAUAGGUCGUAUUUUGGGGUUGCCAAAAGUUGAUGCUUUGGCUUGCUCCAUUGGAAAGCUCUAUAACCUUGAAUCUCUGGUAAUCUCUAGCGACAAUCAUGUUGAGUGUGAGGAUAGCCAGCAGCUGGGCUCAUUAUCCAAUCCUUUUCAACAUAUUGACCGGCUUGAAUUGCAUCUCUGGUGGUUAUGGAGAGUUCCAAAAUGGUUGUGUGGUCUCCAUUGCCUGCGCAUCCUUGAGCUGUAUGUUGAGGAGACAUCAACUCAGGAUGUCCAUCUGCUUGGAGAGCUUCCCUCCCUCGUCCACCUUGAAUUAGGAUCAUGUGAAAUCCCUGUUGAAAGAGCUAUGUUAGGCACGGGGCUAUUCCCAGUGCUGGAGUUCCUUAAUAUCUGGUCUAAGAAAGACACUACGCCGUUCCUGGGCUUCGAGGCAGGUGCUAUGCCCAGUUUACAAACACUCUGGUUCAGUGCAUGCGAUUGGGGCGGCACUAUACCAGUUGGCCUUGAGCACUUGUUACACCUCCAGGAGAUCAAAGUGUAUGGGGUCAAUAAGGAUGCCAAGGACGCGUUCAAGGAGGCUUUGCUGAUGCACCCGAACCGCCCUUCCGUCAGACUUGAGUAG
rnacentral:rRNA from 1 species